CAAUUUCCGAAAACCCCUCCCAAUCUCCGGCUCCUUCGGGAGAAUUCUUUUCCAACCUCCAGCUCCGGUCCCUCUGGGAGAAUUCUGUGCGUGUGUGCUAUCGUCGGUACUGCUCGUAACAAAGAGCUGAUUCCAUGGAGUAUAUAUAACUCACAAUCCAGAGAGAGGUUCGUUUCUUGCGGACAAGUUCAAUAUUGCCUGUACUUUUGUUAAGUUUCAUACACAAUAUUGCUUUCCUAAUGUAGUAAACUAAGACCAAUUAAUUGAUAAUGGUGUAAACUAAAUUAAUGCAAUAUUGAUUUGGAAACUUAUAACCACAUGAUCGACAACAAUCGUCUUGGAAUCGUAAUAGAAAAACGUAUUACAAAGC
rnacentral:lncRNA from 1 species